rnacentral:lncRNA from 1 species
UCUUUAUCAAGUGGAAUAUGAGUUAUAAGUACCAUAUUUUUUAUAUUUUUUAUAAGGCGCACUUAAAAUCCUUUAAUUUUCCUAAAAAUCGUCAGUGUGCCUUUAAAUCCAGUGCACCUUAUGUAUGAAUUUUGCCAGUCAGGUUGUAAGGAGCAGUAAAGCCACUCCACUGAAGCACAGCAUCAUACAAGAGUUCUAGUUUAGUUCUCAAGCAGCUGGAGUAGCAUUAGCAUUAGCGGCUAACUGCACUAAUCACUAGCUCUUUCUUUGUUCAGAGGGAGGCUCGCUGAGGAGACUUGGUGGAGCCCACAACUCAGGGGUCAAGUCCAGGCUUUCCCAACAUCUCUACCCCCACUAUCGUCCAUCCCUGCUCUCUCCUCCUCUCUGGAGAAAUGGACGGAGUGCAGGAGAGGGACGUGAGAAGUAUGUGAGGACAGAGAGAGAGAGAAAGAGAGAAAAACAAGAGAAUGGGUGCCAACAAAUCUCAAUGAGGUGUUGCUCAAUGAGGUGUUGCUGGGGAUGGCUUUGUGCCACAGGCAAGCUGGUAAGGGGUUUAGAUACACAUUCAGACAUUUUGUUUUUGUCCUAAGUCAAGCACUGAGCUAAACAAUUAGGUUUAAUUAUGGAGCAAAGCUGUCAAGAUAGUUUACCAAGAGCUCGGUCACUAGGAGUAAAGUGUGGUGUAGUACGCAGCUAAUCAUUAGAAUUACAUCCUCUCUGAAAAGCAGAAAAGCUAUUAUAUGUUCAAAUAACUACCGGGUUAUGAGGAGUGCCAUAAAAACCUGAUAUACUGUAUUAAUUCAUUCAUUGUUUGGGUUUACUUUCCUUUAAAAGGUAAAAGGAAAAUGAGUGUAUAGUAGUAAUGUAAUCUGUCUAUACAGCUCAUGUGGCUGCAUAUAUUACUGAAUAAAAUUAGUAGGAAUGACCA